rnacentral:rRNA from 1 species
UACGUAGGUGGCAAGCGUUGUCCGGAUUUAUUGGGUUUAAAGGGUGCGUAGGCGGCUUUGUAAGUCAGUGGUGAAAUAUGGCAGCUCAACUGUCAGGGUGCCAUUGAUACUGCGGAGCUUGAGUACAGAUGAGGUAGGCGGAAUUGACGGUGUAGCGGUGAAAUGCUUAGAUAUCAUCAAGAACACCGAUAGCGAAGGCAGCUUACUAGGCUGUAACUGACGCUGAGGCACGAAAGUGUGGGGAUCAAACAGG